UACGUAGGGUGCGAGCGUUGUCCGGAAUUAUUGGGCGUAAAGGGCUCGUAGGCGGUUUGUCGCGUCGGGAGUGAAAACGCCGGGCUUAACUCGGUGCUUGCUUUCGAUACGGGCAGACUAGAGGCAUGCAGGGGAGAACGGAAUUCCUGGUGUAGCGGUGAAAUGCGCAGAUAUCAGGAGGAACACCGGUGGCGAAGGCGGUUCUCUGGGACU
rnacentral:rRNA from 1 species